rnacentral:rRNA from 1 species
ACGAACGCUGGCGGCGUGCCUAAUACAUGCAAGUAGAACGCUGAAGGAGGAGCUUGCUUCUCUGGAUGAGUUGCGAACGGGUGAGUAACGCGUAGGUAACCUGCCUGGUAGCGGGGGAUAACUAUUGGAAACGAUAGCUAAUACCGCAUAAUAGCAGUUAUUGCAUGAUAACUGUUUGAAAGGUGCAAUUGCACCACUACCAGAUGGACCUGCGUUGUAUUAGCUAGUUGGUGGGGUAACGGCUCACCAAGGCGACGAUACAUAGCCGACCUGAGAGGGUGAUCGGCCACACUGGGACUGAGACACGGCCAGACUCCUACGGGAGGCAGCAGUAGGGAAUCUUCGGCAAUGGACGGAAGUCUGACCGAGCAACGCCGCGUGAGUGAAGAAGGUUUUCGGAUCGUAAAGCUCUGUUGUAAGAGAAGAACGAGUGUGAGAGUGGAAAGUUCACACUGUGACGGUAUCUUACCAGAAAGGGACGGCUAACUACGUG